rnacentral:lncRNA from 1 species
GGAUAUUUCUGAAGCAUGCACAGUAUCCUGCGGUACUUUUUAAGUACCACAGAUGAUCCAUUAUGCGCAUGUGGUCACCCAUCUUUUGAUGGAUAUCUCUGAAGCAUGUACAGUACCUACGGUAUUUUUUAAGUACCACAGAGGAUCCGUUCCUAAUCCACAGAUCCAUCUGAAAAUUUAGUUUAAUCUUGAUGGAUUACCUGAAUGG